rnacentral:rRNA from 1 species
UACAGAGCAUGGGCGAGCCUGAUGCAGCAACGCCGCGUGGGGGAUGACGGCCUUCGGGUUGUAAACCUCUUUUGGCAGGGAAGAAGCGAAAGUGACGGUACCUGCAGAAAAAGCACCGGCUAACUACGUGCCAGCAGCCGCGGUAAUACGUAGGGUGCGAGCGUUGUCCGGAAUUAUUGGGCGUAAAGAGCUCGUAGGCGGUUCGUCGCGUCUGCUGUGAAAUCCCGAGGCUCAACCUCGGGCCUGCAGUGGGUACGGGCGAACUAGAGUGCAGUAGGGGAGACUGGAAUUCCUGGUGUAGCGGUGGAAUGCGCAAAUAUCAGGAGGAACACCGAUGGCGAAGGCAGGUCUCUGGGCUGUAACUGACGCUGAGGAGCGAAAGCGUGGGGAGCGAACAGGAUUAGAUACCCUGGUAGUCCACGCCGUAAACGUUGGGCGCUAGAUGUGGGGACCAUUCCACGGUUUCCGUGUCGCAGCUAACGCAUUAAGCGCCCCGCCUGGGGAGUACGGCCGCAAGGCUAAAACUCAAUGAAAUUUUGACGGA